UGGGGAAUAUUGGACAAUGGGGGAAACCCUGAUCCAGCAAUGCCGCGUGAGUGAAGAAGGCCUUAGGGUUGUAAAGCUCUUUCGCCCGCGAAGAUAAUGACGGUAGCGGGAGAAGAAGCCCCGGCUAACUCCGUGCCAGCAGCCGCGGUAAUACGGAGGGGGCUAGCGUUGUUCGGAAUUACUGGGCGUAAAGCGUACGUAGGCGGAUGCGCAAGUUGGGGGUGAAAUCCCGGGGCUUAACCUCGGAAUUGCCCUCAAAACUGCACGUCUUGAGACCGAGAGAGGUAAGGGGAAUUCCUAGUGUAGAGGUGAAAUUCGUAGAUAUUAGGAAGAACACCAGUGGCGAAGGGGCCUUACUGGCUCGGUACUGACGCUGAGGUACGAAAGCGCGGGGAGCAAACA
rnacentral:rRNA from 1 species